rnacentral:rRNA from 1 species
CUACGGGGUGCAGCAGUGGGGAAUAUUGCACAAUGGAGGAAACUCUGAUGCAGCAACGCCGCGUGGAGGAUGACACUUUUCGGUGUGUAAACUCCUUUUAUAUGUCAAGAAAAUGACGGUAGCAUAUGAAUAAGCACCGGCUAACUCCGUGCCAGCAGCCGCGGUAAUACGGAGGGUGCAAGCGUUACUCGGAAUCACUGGGCGUAAAGGACGCGUAGGCGGGUUGGAAAGUCAGGUGUGAAAUCCUACAGCUUAACUGUAGAACUGCACUUGAAACUUCUAAUCUAGAGUAUGGGAGGGGGAGAUGGAAUUAGUGGUGUAGGGGUAAAAUCCGUAGAUAUCACUAGGAAUACCUAAAGCGAAGGCGAUCUCCUGGAACAUUACUGACGCUAAGGCGUGAAAGCGUGGGGAGCAAACAGGAUUAGAUACCCGAGUAGUC